UCAACACAGUCAUGGGAGCACCAUACAUAUUUGUGAACUAGUGCAUGUGCAUGUGUAGGCCUUUUGUGACAUGGCAAGCUGAGUAGGCCUACAGGCAUGAUACAUACAAAUCAUCUUGGCCACAGAGAUCAAACCACACUGAGAGUUCAAGCGAGCCCUGGCCCAGUCAGUGUAAUUGCAGCAACAAUCCGAACAGCGCUAGCAUGA